rnacentral:lncRNA from 1 species
CAUUGUUAUUAUGAUAUUAGUAAUAUCAUAAUUGGGAUAAAUUUUCCUCACACGUGAAUAGAUAUAUUUCCUUGGGAUACAUCCCUACACACUAAAUUAGAGAUAAAAUUAUUCAGGCAUACAUACAUAUAUAUCUCUCACUCUCUCUCACUCUCUCCCUCUCGAUCUCUCUCUCACUCUCUCUCACUCUCUCCCUCUCGAUCUCUCUCGCUCUCUCUCACUCUCUCUCCCUCUCUCACUUCCACCGGCUUCCCUCCCCUCUCCCACAUUCCUUCUCUUUCUCCCCCUUAAAUGAAACCCACAUGCACACAUUAAGAAGCCUCUAAAAAGCCUAACCUAUCUAGCCAACACACUCCCCAUUUCAAGCUCACACAUGCACAUGCACACCCUUCUCUCCCUCCCCCCCUCCCCCCCUUG